UGUGGCACGUGUUGAUUAUUUGUACAACUUAAUAAGACAACUCAAAUGUAAAAUACAGAGAAAGUACCACCGAAGUAUUCUGAGUUAGUCCGACUUUGGGUCAGGAACGCAACGCCGACGGUAGAAUAUGCUCAGACCUCAGUUCGCCCUUCACGGCAAGACCGUAUUCCCCAGACGAGAGACGCUAGCAAACCAAACCAAACCAAACCAAACCAAACGAGGAAGAAACUUCAAAUCCCCCUCCCUGUUUCCUCUCUCCACACCUCCGCCAUGAACGAUCGACGAGCCGGCAGACCCAAGGUUUUCAGGCGUCGUCUGCGAUUCUCGGUUCCUUUUCGGUUGUUCCCCUCUCCGCGAGUUGGCCGUCCCCAAGGAAUGCGUAAGCUUUAGGUUUACUCUGUUGAUGUGUGUUGUGUUCUAUGCAAGAUAUUACAGAGGAAUUGUCGUUCGUAACAGGGUGGUAUAGUGCUGCUCCCCUAAAUUAAUUGCGGUGAGGCUUAAGUAGCCUAUUAAUCAUGAUUUUGUGUUCCUAUUGGUGAUUAUAGGUAUUUAGGGCAUUUGUGUUUGUCGAUUGUGCUCGGGAGGUUGGUGCUUGUGUUAUGAUAGGGCUAUAGUCAUGGUAAGAUUAGCCAGCAGUUCAAGCCCUAUCCGGAACGCAGGAAUUUGCAUGUACUUAGUUGUGGAACAGUUCGAUUCCGCAAAAACCUAGAGUUGUGUUCCCUGUUUGAGUAAAUGAUGCCACGGAGAUGUGUGUAGCUUUAUAUUCUCAUGUUCGAUUACGUCUUCCUUGUGAUCAGCUAGCUGUAUUAUGCUAAAAAAUAUUCUUCCCUGACUGCUUCAGUGUUCUCUUUCCCCCGAACAGUGUAUGUCUCUUAGGAUUGUUACCUUGCUUUAUGAUUAUUAGAUGUGUUGUCUAUAUGAUUCUCUAUGCUUAUUCUUCCUAUUUCGUUAAUGAGUUUAGCUCUUGAUCUGAAAUUCUGAAGCUAUUGUGUUUUCAUUGCUGUGGUUCAAGUUCUGGAAAUUAUUGCCAUUGAAGUACCAUUUUAUUGUCUCACCACUGGCAGAAUUGUGUAUUCAGUCUACCCUAUGUCAGUCCAUAUAGGUUUAGCUACAUAUAAAUUGUUAAUUUUUAUUGUUUUGGAAUUAGGUUCUCUGGAGUUCUCUUUGUUGCCCAACAGAGUUCAUGGUGCGAUGACAUUCUCAUGUGUAUGUUUCUAAUUCAACAAUCUGGCUCUGAUCUUUGCUUUUGGACUCAGAGUUCAUUUUGUUUGGGAACUGCAUAAUGUGUUUGAUUUAAAUGAAUUGUUGAGAUCAAAAUCCACAAGAUAGAUGAACUGAGUAUAUGUUAAGCUCACAUGCGUAGAACACCACUUGGAGCAUCAACUUAGUUCUAGAAUCGGCCAUAUGCUUCUUUUCCAUUUGAGUUGCUUUAAUUUUUUCUGACACAUACAACAGGGAUAUUCCCUGCUCCCAACAUAAAAUUUGUUCAUGUAAGUAAAACCAGCAUACUGCAAAACUCCACAGUUGCCGCUAGGUUAACAAGUGUAGGUUUGAAACAGAGGGAAGAGUAGAAAAUUAGAUUAGAUAAAACCUUGCGGUGCUAUACCUUGAUCAUUCUAUAACACUGGUGCAGCAUCUGGCCCAAAUACCUCAGGAGUCUAUCUGUACUUUUAUUAAUCACUACUGUAUUGGUGCACAUAUAUUGAGAAAUGAAACUUCCGCCGCGGAUGUUUUAGUUUUCUGUUUUUAUUGUUGAAAACACGACCGCUUCUUGCAAAACCUGUUUAACAGUUCAUUGGAUGAAAUUGUGUCACAUGCCUUAUUUAGUUUGGGAAUGGGAGGUACUAACCUCCUGUCGGAGUUGAGCAGUGUCCGUUCGAAAAGAAAUAUUUUGCUUGUCUUUUACUGAUCGGUUGUGUAUUUGCAUAUGAAUUGAAGCACUAGGGGGUAAACCAAGAAGGUAGAUAGCAUACAGUUCUUCACUAGGACAGUGACAACAGUGACUGUCUGUUAUCCCUACUGUUCCCGGUCAUCUCUCUUUUCUUUUAAUUUCCACAACAUGUCAACAUUCACAAUCUUUCUGACUACUCCGAUUCCUAUUUAUCAAUGGACACAAAGUCACAAACAAGAGCUUUACGACUUCACGUUUUAAAACCAGUUAAAUCAUAUAUCUUUUUUUUUUCUCAUGAUCCUGUUCUUCUGAACAUAUUAGCUGGAAGCAUCACGAGUUUGUUAGUUUUGUACAGACAAGUGUGCUUGGAUUUUUGUUUGAGAUUGCAGCUAUAUGUAUCUUCGUGUCAUUUGUUUCAUGAAUGUUCUUAUAUGCCCUCAAAAUAACUUCUGUUAAUUAUGUUCAGUACUGAUGAAUUUUCAUUGACUGUUUUGAAGACUGUCAUUUUCAUGUUAAGUUUGUACUCUGUAACCUCAUAAAUUGCAAUAUAUUUGUUUGGCUAUUUUCUGUUAACAACAUGUACCCCUGUUCUUUCAUGUGCAAUUUGCAAUCAUCUUUCCAACCACCGUUCCCUUAGAUGUUACUCCCUCUGUUUCUAAAUAUAUGACGUUUUGGUAGUUCAAUUUGAACUACCAAAACGUCAUAUAUUUAGGAACGGAAGGAGUAGAACCUAUCAAUUUGUCUAUUCCAAAAUAUUUCUUUUCUAAGGUGUAGCGUCCAAGAGCUUGUCUUCAUUUAGUAUGCUUCAGUUUGUCUAUUAUUAACUACUCUCUCCAUUUCAAAUUAAUUGAAAUUCUAGCUUGUCCUUAUUCAGAUUUGACCAAGUCUAGAAAAAUAUAUCAAGACCUACAACACUAAAUUAGUUCCAUUAGAUUUUUUGCAAAAUGUAUUUUCGUAUUAUAUAUAUUUGGUUAUAUUGGUAUUGUAGAUGAAAGCGUAUUUUUCUAUAGACUUGGUCAAACUUAAAGAAGUUCCAUUUAGACAACCUAGAACUUCAAUUAAUUUGGAAGGGUCAGAGUUUUGGUUUCUAGGAUUUAGUGUCCUGAGCUUGUCUUCAGUUUGCUACUCUUCCAUUAUACUUCUUGCAAGUAUAAAUGAUAUUGUUUCUUCACUUGAUAUUUGCUAGUAAGUGCCUUUUUUAUUUCCAUGUAUGAAAAAAAUGGUUUUCAACUCAUAUAUGGUACUCUUAUCUCUGUUUUGAUGUCAAAUGAACCAUGGAAUCUUUGCGUAAUUUCUUGUUUUUAUUAAUGUGAUAUGUAUCAGCAUCAAGCCAUCAAUACCUGGACUGGGACCACAAUGUGUAGAGGGGUCUGGGCUGAACAUGCAACUGCAGUAUUGUGUGAUGCUAAAUAUUCAUUCAUCCUGCUUUGUCCAUAUUGCAUUUGGGAUCAUCGUAGAGGUUCAUCUGAGUGCCAUUUGGAAUUACUGUUGUGCUUCUAAUUUCAAAGAUGUGCUGAAUCCAUGCUAAAAGACUGCUGGGAUAUAAACCAAAACUUAAUGCUG